UGCUUUUGAACUGGGCAAGACCAAAUU
rnacentral:piRNA from 1 species